GCCAGCUCAUGAACAGCAUUAUGGAAUGACUCACGCUGUGAGGAACUGCAGUUUCCUGCCAACAAAUACAUGAAUGUGCUUGGAAUGGAUCCUUUAGCACCAGUGAUGUCUUUAGAGACCAUAUCCCCGGCUGACAGCUUGGCUACAGCCUAAUAAGAGACUCUGAGCCAGAGCAACCCAGGAAAGCAUGCUCCUCAAUUCCUGCACCUCAAACACUAUAUGAUUCUUCUCAUGAUUUAAUGGCUGAAUCUACUCAACACCAGAUUAUAUAAAUAAAAGAUCAAUAAUGUGAAUAUAUGCCAUAUUUUUACAUAAC